GAUGAAGAACGCAGCGAAAUGCGAUAAGUAAUGUGAAUUGCAGAAUUCAGUGAAUCAUCGAAUCUUUGAACGCACCUUGCGCCCUUUGGCCAUUCCGAAGGGCAUGCCUGUUUGAGUAUCAUGAACACCUCAACUCUCAUGGUUUGCCAUGACGAGCUUGGACUUUGGGGGUCUUGCUGGCCUUUUGGUCAGCUCCUCUCAAAUGAAUUAGCUUUCCAGUGUCUGGUGGCAUCACGAGUGUGAUAAAUAUCUACGCUUGUGGUUUCCUGCCAGGUAACCUUCAGUGAUGGAGGUUCACUGGGGCUCAUAAAUGUCUCUCCUCAGCGAAGACAGCUUUGUGAACGUUUGAUCUCAAAUCAGGUAGGACUACCCGCUGAACUUAAGCAUAUCAAUAAGCGGAGGA
rnacentral:misc_RNA from 1 species